CAUCUUUGGAAUAUAACUUCAAGUUCAAAAAGUCAAAUUUGCCAAAAAAUCAAGUCUACACUGCACAGAUAUUCAGAGAAGUUCAAAAGCAAGUACAAUAAGCCAGCAAUUAAGAUGUUCAAAAAAUCACCUAUAGACUAUUACAAAUGCAAACCUUCAACCCCACUAGCUUGUCAUUUCAUCUCAAAGAAUUAACUA